UGCAAGUCGAACGGUAACAUUUCCAGCUUGCUGGAAGAUGACGAGUGGCGCACGGGUGCGUAACGCGUAUGCAACUUACCUCUAACUGGAGAAUAGCCUUGUGAAAACGAGAAUAAUACUCCAUAGUAUAACAAUUCGGCAUCGUUUUGUUAUUAAAGAUUUAUCGGUUAGAGAUAGGCAUGCGUCCCAUUAGUUAGUUGGUGAGGUAAUGGCUCACCAAGACUCCGAUGGGUAGGGGGCCUGAGAGGGUUAUCCCCCACACUGGUACUGAGACACGGACCAGACUCCUACGGGAGGCAGCAGUGAGGAAUAUUGGGCAAUGGACGAAAGUCUGACCCAGCCAUGCCGCGUGCAGGAAGAAUGCCCUAUGGGUUGUAAACUGCUUUUAUACAGGAAGAAACCCUUGAACGUGUUCGAGGCUGACGGUACUGUAUGAAUAAGCACCGGCUAACUCCGUGCCAGCAGCCGCGGUAAUACGGAGGGUGCAAGCGUUAUCCGGAUUUAUUGGGUUUAAAGGGUGCGUAGGCGGAAGUAUAAGUCAGUGGUGAAAGCCCACAGCUCAACUGUGGAACUGCCAUUGAUACUGUACUUCUUGAAUCUAGUUGAAGUGGACGGAAUGUAACAUGUAGCGGUGAAAUGCAUAGAUAUGUUACAGAACACCAAUUGCGUAGGCAGUUCACUAAGCUAGUAUUGACGCUAAGGCACGAAAGCGUGGGUAGCGAACAGGAUUAGAUACCCUGGUAGUCCACGCCGUAAACGAUGAUUACUCGAUGUCGGCGAUAUACUG
rnacentral:rRNA from 1 species